GAUGAACGCUGGCGGCGUGCUUAACACAUGCAAGUCGAACGGAAAGGCCAGUGCUUGCACUGGUGCUCGAGUGGCGAACGGGUGAGUAACACGUGGGUGAUCUGCCCUGCACUUUGGGAUAAGCCUGGGAAACUGGGUCUAAUACCAGAUAGGACCAUGCUUUGGAUGGUGUGGUGGAAAGUUUUUUCGGUGUGGGAUGAGCUUGCGGCCUAUCAGCUUGUUGGUGGGGUAAUGGCCUACCAAGGCGUCGACGGGUAGCCGGCCUGAGAGGGUGUACGGCCACAUUGGGACUGAGAUACGGCCCAGACUCGUACGGGAGGCAGCAGUGGGGAAUAUUGAGCAAUGGGCGCAAGCCUGAUGUAGAGACGCCGCGUGGGGGAUGACGGCCUUCGGGUUGUAAACGCCUUUCGCAACUGACGAAGCUUUUUGUGACGGUAGGUUGAGAAGAAGCACCGGCUAACUACGUG
rnacentral:rRNA from 1 species